GGGCUAUUAGCUCAGUAGGUUAGAGCACGCCCUUGAUAAGGGCGGGGUCAAUGGUUCAAAUCCAUUAUAGCCCA
rnacentral:tRNA from 1 species